rnacentral:tRNA from 1 species
CCAUAAGAAGCUGACCUAGCGCCAGCCUUUUAAGCUGGAGAUUGGGCCGCGCAUUGCUGCCCCUUAAGGA